rnacentral:rRNA from 1 species
AUGAACGUUGGCGGCGUGGAUUAGGCAUGCAAGUCGAGCGAGAACCCGCAAGGGGGACAGCGGCGAACGGGGUAGGACAACGUAGGUAACGUACCCUCGGGGCGAGGACAGCCACGGGAAACUGUGGGUAAUACUCGAUAAUGUUCCCAAUCGUGAUGGAAGGGGAACCAAUGGGUGAGAUUCCACCUGAGGAGCGGCUUACGCAGUAUCAGCUUGUUGGUGAGGUAACGGCUCACCAAGGCUACGACGCUUAGGGGGUGUGAGAGCAUGGCCCCCACCACUGGCACUGAGACACUGGCCAGACACCUACGGGUGGCUGCAGUCGAGAAUCUUCGGCAAUGGGCGCAAGCCUGACCGAGCGACGCCGCGUGCGGGAUGAAGGCCUUCGGGUUGUAAACCGCUGUCAGAGGGGAUGAAGUGUACGGGAGUUAUCUCCUGUAUUUGACAGAGCCUCAGAGGAAGCACGGGCUAAGUUCGU